rnacentral:rRNA from 1 species
AGACAGCAGUAGCCGCGGUAAGACAGAGGAUGCAAGCGUUAUCCGGAAUGAUUGGGCGUAAAGCGUCUGUAGGUGGCUUUUCAAGUCCGCCGUCAAAUCCCAGGGCUCAACCCUGGACAGGCGGUGGAAACUACCAAGCUGGAGUACGGUAGGGGCAGAGGGAAUUUCCAGUGGAGCGGUGAAAUGCGUUGAGAUCGAAAAGAACACCAACAGCGAAAGCACUCUGCUGGGACGACACUGACACUAAGAGACGAAAGCUAGGGGAGCAAAUGGGAUUAGAUACCCCAGUAGUCCCUGUCUCUUAUAC